GGAAAAGACAUCCAGACACAGAGGAGCAGGCCAUGUGAAGACAGAGACAGAUUGAGGUGAUGCAUCUACAAGCCAAGGAGCGCCCAGGAUUCCUGAGAGCAACCAGAAGCUAGGGGAGAGGCAGCCAGAUGGUGCAUGAACAGUGAAGAAUGGGUGGAUAUUUUAAGACAUCUUAACUAAGUUGCCUCGUCUAUCAGAAAUGUGUCCUCCCAACCUCAGUGUUAACAACUGAAGAGUGAAGAUCAGGCUGUGUAUUUCCUCUGCAGGCCCUGAAGCAUUAAAGUAUUCGAAAGUGAUGCAUUAAUUGAUUGAUGCUAUCAAAGCCAUGUGGCUGACGGGGUCUUAGUGCUGCAGCCUGGUGUCAGGCCUGAGCCUCUGAGGUGGGAGAGCCAAGUUCAGGACACUGGACCACCAGAGACCUCCUGGCCCCACGUAAUAUCAAUCAGCGAGACCUCUUCCACAGACAUCCAUAUCAACAGUAAGACCCAGCUCCACCCAAUGGCAAGCAAGCUCCAAUGCUGGACACCCUAUGCCAAACAACUAGCAAGACAGGAACACAACGCCACCCAUUAGCAGAGAGGCUGCCUAAAAUCAUAAGGUCACAGACACCCCAAAACACACCACCGGAUGUGGUCCUGCCCACCAGAAAGACAAGAUCCAGCCUCAUCCACCAGAACACAGGCCCCAGUCUCCUCCACGAGGAAGCCUACACAACCCACUGAACCAAACUCAGCCACUGGGGGCAGGCACGAAAACAACGGGAACUACGAACAUGCAGCCUGCAAAAAGGAGACCCCAAGUGCAAUAAGUUAAGCAAAAUGACAAGACAGAGAAACACACAGCAGAUGAAGGAGCAAGGUAAAAACCCACCAGACCAAAAAAAUGAAGAGGAAGUAGGCAGUCUACCUGAAAAAGAAUUCAGAGUAAUGAUAGUAAAGAUGAUCCAAAAUCUUGGAAAUAGAAUGGAGAAAAUACAAGAAACGUUUAACAAGGACCUAGAACAACUAAAGAGCAAACAAACAAUGAUGAACAACACAAUAAAUGAAAUUAUAAGUUCUCUAGAAGGAAUCAAUAGCAGAAUAACUGAGUCAGAAGAACGGAUAAGGGACCUGAAAGAGAAAAUAGUGGAAAAAACUACUGGAGAGCAGAAUAAAGAAAAAAAAUGAAGAGAAUUGAGGACGGUCUCAGAGACCUCUGGGGCAACAUCAAAUGCACCAACAUUUGAAUUAUAGGGGGUCCCAGAGGAAGAAGAGAAAAAGAAAGGGUCUGAGAAAAUAUUUGAAAGGUUAUGGUUGAAAACUUCCCUAACGAUGGAAAGGAAAUAGUCAAUCAACUCCAGGAAGUGCAGAGAGUACCAUACAGGAUAAAUCCAAGUAGACACAUGGCAAGACACCUGUUAAUCAAGCUAUCAAAAAUUAAAUACAAAGAAAAAUAUUAAAAGCAGUAAGGGAAAAACAACAAAUAAUAUACAAGGGAAUCCCCAUAAGGUUAACAGCUGAACUUUCAGCAGAAACUCUGCCAGCCAGAAGGGAGUGGCAAGACAUAUUUAAAGUGAUGAAAGGGAAAAACCUACAACCAAGAUUACUCUACCAAGCAAGAAUCUCAUUCAGAUUCCAUGGAGAAAUUAAAAGCUUUAUAGACAAGCAAAAGCUAAAAGAAUUCAGCACCACCAAACCAGCUUUACAAGAAAUGCUAAAGGAACUUCUCUAGGCAGGAAACACAAGAGAAGGAAGAGACCUACAAUAACAAACCCAAAACAAUUAAGAAAAUGAUAAUAGGAACAUAAAUAACGAUAGUUACCUUAAAUGUAAACGGAUUAAACGCUCCCACCAAAAGACAUAGACUGACUGAAUGGAUACAAAAACAAGACCCGUAUAUACGCUGUCUACAAGAGACCCACUUCAGACCUAGGGACACAUACAGACUGAAAGUGAGGGGAUGGAAAAAGAUAUUCCAUGCAAAUGGAAAUCAAAAGAAAGCUGCAGUAGCAAUUCUCAUAUCAGACAAAAUAGACUUUAAAAUAAGGACUAUUACAAGAGACAAAGAAGGACACUACACAAUGAUCAAGGGAUCAAUCCAAGAAGAAGAUAUAACAAUUGUAAAUAUUUAUGCACCCAACAUAGGAGCACCUCAAUACAUAAGGCAAAUGCUAACAGCCAUAGAAGGGGGAAUCGACAGUAACACAAUCAUACUAGGGGACUGUAAUGCCCCAAUUUCACCAAUGGACAGAUGAUCCAAAAUGAAAAUAAAUAAGGAAACACAAGCUUUAAAUGACACAUUAGACAAGAUGGACUUAAUUAAUAUUUAUAGGACAUUCCAUCCAAAAACAACAGAAUACACUUUCUUCUAAAGUGCUCAUGGAACAUUCUCCAGGAUAGAUCCUAUCUUGGGUCACAAAUCAAGCCUUGGUAAAUUUAAGAAAAUUGAAAUCGUAUCAAGUAUCUUUUCCGACCACAACGCCACAAGGCAAGAUAUCAAUUACAGGAAAAAACUGUAAAAAAUAGAAACACAUGGAGGCUAAGCAAUACGCUACUAAAUAACCGAGGGAUCACUGAAGAAAUGAAAGAGGAAAUCAAAAAAUACCUAUAAACAAAUGACAAUGAAAACACGACGACCCAAAACCUAUGGGAUGCAGCAAAAGCAGUUCUAAGAGGGAAGUUUAUAACAAUACAAUCCUACCUUAAGAAACAAGAAACAUCUCAAAUAAACAACCUAACCUUACACCUAAAGCAAUUAGACAAAGAGGAACAAAACCCCCAAAGUUAGCAGAAGGAAAGAAAUCAUAAAGAUCAGAUCAGAAAUAAAUGAAAAAGAAAUGAAGGAAACAAUAGCAAAGGUCAAUAAAACUAAAAGCUGGUUCUUUGAGAAGAUAAACAAAACUGAUAACCAUUAGCCAGAUUCAUCAAGAAAAAAAAGGGAGAAGACUCAAAUCAACAGAAUUAGAAAUGAAAAAGGAGGAGUAACAAUUGACACUGCAGAAAUACAAAGGAUCAUGAGAGAUUACUACAAGCAACUAUUUGCCAAUAAAAUGGACAAGCUGGAAGAAAUGGGCAAAUUCUUAGAAAAACACAACCUUCUGAGGCUGAACCAGGAAGAAACAGAAAAUAUAAACAGACCAAUCACAAGUACUGAACUUGAAACUGUGAUUAAAAAUCUUUCAACAGGGAUUCCCUGGUGGCGCAGUGGUUUAAAAUCUGCCUGGCAAUGCAAGGGACACAGGUUCAAGCCCUGGUCCAGGAGGAUCCCACAUGCUGCAGAGCAACUAAGCCCGUGCACCACAACUACUGAGCCUGCGCUGCAGAGCUCACGAGCCACAACUACUGAAGUCCGUGUACCACAGCUACUGAAGCUUGUGCACCCUAGAGCCCGUGCUCCGUAACAAUAGAAACCACCGCAAUGAGAAGCCCACGCACCACAACCAAGAGAGCCCCCACUCACUGCAACCAGAGAAAGCCCGUGUGCAGCAACAAAGACCCAACGCAGCCAAAAAUAAAAAUUAAUUAAUUAAUUAAUUUAUAAAAAUAUCAUUAAAAAUAAAUCUUGCAACAAACAAAAGCCCAGGACCAGAUGGCUUCACAGGCGAAUUCUAUCAAACAUUUAGAGAAGAGCUAACACCUAUCCUUCUCAAACUCUUCCAAAAUAUAACAGAGGGAGGGACACUCCCAAACUCAUUCUACGAGGCCACCAUCACCCUGAUACCAAAACCAGACAAAGAUGUCACAAAAAAAAAAAACUACAGGCCAAUAUCACUGAUGAACAUAGAUGCAAAAGUCCUCAACAAAAUACUAGCAAACAGAAUCCAACAGCACAUUAAAAGGAUCAUACACCAUGAUCAAGUGGGGUUUAUCCCAGGAAUGCAAGCAUUCUUCAGUAUACGCAGAUCAAUCAAUGAGCUACAUCACAUUAACAAAUUGAAGAAUAAAAACCAUAUGAUCAUCUCAACAGAUGCAGAAAAAGCUUUUGACAAAAUUCAACACCAAUUUAUGAUAAAAACUCUCUAGAAAGUGGGCAUAGAGGGAACCUACCUCAACAUAAUAAAGGCCAUAUAUGACAAAUCCACAGACAACAUCAUUCUCAAUGGUGAAAAACUGAAACCAUUUCCUCUAUGAUCAGAACAAGACAAGGUUGCCCACUCUCAGCACUACUGUUCAACAUAGUUUUGGAAGUUUUAGCCACAUCAAUCACAGAAGAAAAAGAAAUAAAAGGAAUCCAAAUCGGAAAAGAGGAAGUCAAACUGCCACUGUUUGCAGAUGACAUGAUACUAUACAUAGAGAAUCCUAAAGAUGUUACCAGAAAACUACUAGAGCUAAUCACUGAAUUUGGUAAAGUAUCAGGAUACAAAAGUAAUGCACAGAAAUCUCUUGCAUUCCUAUACACUAACGACAAAAAAUCUGAAAGAAAAAUUAAGGAAACGCCCAUUAACCAUUGCAACAGAAAGAAUAAAAUAGUUAGGGAUAAACCUACCUAAGGAGACAAAAGACCUGUAUGCAGAAAACCAUAAGACACUGAUGAAAGAAAUUAAAGAUAAUACAAACAGAUGGAGAGAUAUACAUGUUCUUUGACUGGAAGAAUCAACAUUGCGAAAAUGGCUAUACAACCCAAAGCAAUCUACAGAUUCAAUGCAAUCCCUAUCAAACUACCAAGGGCAUUCUUCACAGAACUAGAACAAAAAGUUGCACAAUUUGUAUGGAAACACAAUAGACCCCCAAUAGCUGAGGCAAUCUUGAGAAAGAACAAUGGAGCUGGAGGAAUCAGGCUCCCUGACGUCAGACUAUACUACCAGACUACAGUAAUCAAGACAGUAUGGUACUGGCACAAAAGCAGAAAUAUAGAUCAGUGGAACAGGAUAGAAAGCCCAGAGAUAAACCCACGCACAUAUGGGUUAUUUUUGAUAAAGGAGGCAAGAAUAUACAAUGGAGAAAAGACAGCCUCUUCAAUAAGUGGUGCUGGGAAAACUGCACAGGUACACGUAAAAGAAUGAAAUUAGAACACUCCCUAACACUAUACACAAAAAUAAACUCAAAAUGGAUUAAAGACCUAAAUGUAAGGCCAGACACCAUCAAACUCUUAGAGGAAAACAUAGGCAGAACACUCUAUGACAUAAAUCACAGCAAGAUCCUUUUUGACCCACCUCCUAGAGUAAUGGAAAUAAAAACAAAAAUAAACAAAUGGGACCUAAUGAAACUUAAAAGCUUUUGCACAGCAAAGGAAACCAUAAACAAGUCAAAAAGACAACCCUCAGAAUGGGAGAAAAUAUUUGCAAAUGAAGCAACUGACAAAGGAUCAAUCUCCAAAAUAUACAAGCAGCUUAUGCAGCUCAAUAUCAAAAAAACAAACAAACCAAUCCAAAAUGGGCAGAAGACCUAAGCAGACAUUUCUCCAGAGAUGAUAUACAGAUUGCCAACAAACACAUGAAAGGAUGCUCAACAUCACUAAUCAUUAGAGAAAUGUAACUUGAAACUACAAUGAGGUAAUACCUCACACCAGUCAGAAUGGCCAUCAUCGAAAAAUCUACAAACAAUAAAUGCUGGAGAGGGUGUGGAGAAAAGGGAACCCUCUUGCACUGUUGGUGGGAAUGUAAAUUGAUACAGCCACUAUGGAGAACAAUAUGGAGGUUCCUUGAAAAACUAAAAAUAGAACUAGCAUACAACCCAGCAAUCCCACUACUGGGCAUAUACCCUGAGAAAGCCAUAAUUCAAAAAGAGUCAUGUACCACAAUGUUCAUUGCAGCUCUAUUUUUACAAUAGGCAGGACAUGGAAGCAACCUAAGUGUCCAUUGACAGAUGAAUGGAUAAAGAAGAUGUGGCACAAAUAUACAAUGGAAUAUUACUCAGCCAUAAAAAGAAACGAAAUUGAGUUAUUUGUAGUGAGGUGGAUGGACAUAGAGUCUGUCAUACAGAGUGAAGUAAGUCAGAAAGAGAGAAACAAAUACUGUAUGCUAACACAUAUAUAUGGAAUCUAAAAAACAACAACAACAAAAAUGGUUAUAAAGAACCUAGGGGCAGGACAGGAAUAAAGACGCAGAUGUAAAGAAUGGACUUGAGGACAUGGAGAGGGGGAAGGGUAAGCUGGGACGAAGUGAGAGAGUGUCAUGGACAUAUAUACACUACCAAAUGUAAAAUAGAUAACUAGUGGGAAGCAGCCGCAUAGCACAGGGAGAUCAGCUCAGUGCUUUGU